GCCUCGGUAGCUCAGUGGUAGAGCGCCAGCCUCGUAAGUUGGAAGUCGAGGGUUCAAGCCCCUCCCGGGGCUCCA
rnacentral:tRNA from 1 species